GACGAACGCUGGCGGCGUGCCUAAUACAUGCAAGUCGAACGCUUCUCCGAACCGGUGCUUGCACCAGUUCAUAUGAGAAGAGUGGCGGACGGGUGAGUAACACGUGGGUAACCUGCCCUCCAGCGGGGGAUAACAUUUGGAAACAGAUGCUAAUACCGCAUAAUUGAUGUCACCGCAUGGUGACGUUAUGAAAGACGCUUUACGGUGUCACUGAAGGAUGGACCCGCGCUGCAUUAGUUAGUUGGUGAGGUAAUGGCUCACCAAGACCGUGAUGCAUAGCCGACCUGAGAGGGUGAUCGGCCACACUGGGACUGAGACACGGCCCAGACUCCUACGGGAGGCAGCAGUAGGGAAUCUUCGGCAAUGGACGAAAGUCUGACCGAGCAACGCCGCGUGAGUGAAGAGUUUCGGAUCGUAAACUCUGUUGUUAGAGAAAGAACAAGUGGGAGAGUAACUGUUCUCACUAUGACGGUAU
rnacentral:rRNA from 1 species